GUCGGAGACUGUCAAUAGUACGGACACUAAGCGUCACGCAAGCGCGCCCUCUGGUGGCGUUUCCGGUGAAACAACAUUUUGGCGCGCUUGGCAGAGUAGUGGUGGUCGGCGUGGCGUCCGCGGAGCUCAGUCUUGGUCGAGUCGUCGUGCUGCGCACAUCUCGAUACUGCCUUUCGUUACGUGUAGUGUACCUAGUGUUAUUGCCUAGUGUUGUAGUACUGUUGUAGAUCCAUAUUGUAAAGUGUGUAAAGUGUCUUUUGAAAUUAAAGUGUAAAGGUUCUUCUAACCUAACAGACAGACAUGUGUUGCUGGGGAGUUUGUUCCGCCACUUCUUCUCCCCAAGCCAAAACACAUAGGAAGUGGCGAAGGGCGGGCGUUUUGGGGGCUGUCUUUUGUUCUGACUAAUUUGAAUAAACGUUUGACUUUUGAGUUCGUGUGAAUUUUGAGUUUCUUUGAGUUAUCUCUUUGCUUGAUUACCCUAACUGAUGUCGGACGAUAGUGCCAUCCUUGAUGUUCGCCUCCGACAUCAGAAGUGGGAUGUAAUCCGAAUGCCCACAUGUGUUAAGAAUUCGCCAUGCGAAGAUAAAAUUCUGCCCAUUGACAAAAAAAAAUAGAACGUCGAUAAUUUCAAAUGUGAGUUUGUAGUAGAAGAUUUAUUGAGAAUUUCAGCGAAGGUACAAGUAUGGUAACCACGGUUACGGUAAUGGUGUAUCGGUUUCCAUUGUUACAUGUCAAGUUAGUUAUUGAAGGUAUGCUAGAAAAUUAACCGAAUUUGUCUUUUUUUUCAUGUUUCAACAAUGACGAUGGUUAUUGUGCAAUAUGGCGUCAAAAUUAUUGCGGAGCAUCCCAGCUGCCUGCCAGGAGCCCAACGUGUCAACGUGUCGUGUGUUACUGCGCGCCAUAGCGAUAUAACAUCUAAGGUGAACCGAGCCUGGAGAACAGGACGAGGUCCACUAGUCAAGCGGCGGGCGAGGUGCGCUGCAGUUGCUGUUUGGAGCGUCAUCCUCCCCCGGAUUUGUCGUGGAGGCCGUAUGAGUUGCGGCAGGCCAGGACAUCGCAUGUCAUCGCACAAGGUGAAAGCAUUCUAUUGCAUUGAAAAUGUUUAGAUUGAUCAGACAAACUUGACAAUGACUGGCCUGUGUGGCAGCUAGGAGCCUGUGUGGCAGUUAGGAGCCUGUGUGGCAGCUAGGAGCCUGUGUGGCAGCUAGGAGCCUGUGUGGCAGUUGGUAGCCUGUGUGGCAGUUGGUAGCCUGUGUGGCAUUCAAGUAUGAGCGAUAUUAAUAAGCCUGUGUGGCGUAAUUAUGACCCUAUGUGGUUCUGUGGUUCAGAUGGAUCUGUGUGACUUUUGUUCAGUGUGCUACAUAGUGGUCAGGAGUGGCCGAGGUUGUACUGUGCAUACUGUGCUGUGUUUGUGUUGUUGCAGAUUAACCCACGAGGACGUGGGUCUACGCAGGAUGGCCGUGUCGGAGACUGUCAAUAGUACGGACACUAAGCGUCACGCAAGCGCGCCCUCUGGUGGCGUUUCCGGUGAAACAACAUUUUGGCGCGCUUGGCAGAGUAGUGGUGGUCGGCGUGGCGUCCGCGGAGCUCAGUCUUGGUCGAGUCGUCGUGCUGCGCACAUCUCGAUACUGCCUUUCGUUACGUGUAGUGUACCUAGUGUUAUUGCCUAGUGUUGUAGUACUGUUGUAGAUCCAUAUUGUAAAGUGUCUUUUGAAAUUAAAGUGUAAAGGUUCUUCUAACCUAACAGACAGACAUGUGUUGCUGGGGAGUUUGUUCCGCCACUUCUUCUCCCCAAGCCAAAACACAUAGGAAGUGGCGAAGGGCGGGCGUUUUGGGGGCUGUCUUUUGUUCUGACUAAUUUGAAUAAACGUUUGACUUUUGAGUUCGUGUGAA